rnacentral:lncRNA from 1 species
UAAUAUGCAUCUGCUAUGCCUCAAAUGCAAGGCUCUGGCAUGCUAUCAUUAAUUUGAGGACAUUCAAAUCAAGGAAGCUUGAAAUUUUUUGUUCGUUUGAAAAAUGGAAGAUCUUGCCUUACAUUUAGCCGAACUACGUGCUGUAUGGGAGGAGUUGUUUUUAAAUUUUUCAUUGGUUUGAUAAAUGGAAGACCUCAUAUUAUAUUUGGCCGAACUGCACGUAGUAUGGGAGAGGUUGCCUCAUGCUACGUACUAAUGUAUUAAGAGCUUCCUAUAUCAAUUGAGACAGACAGUUUUUAGAUGGCUCUCCGAUACACCAUCGAUGUGAGAUCCCAUUCUCUUGUAUUUAAUUGCUAGUGAAUUAUGUACACCUUGAUUUCAUUCGAGACAACACAUACUUACAAAGAAGCGA